CUAAUGGUGAAAGUGGGUAGCGCUUCGGAUACUUACGUCUUUGUCUGAUGAUGUCAUAUGCCUUGGACUCAACGAACGUUAUCGUUACACACUGGAUCGGAAAGUUAUGGUGAUCUGCACUGGUUUCAAACCUCUUUAAGCUUCAAGUUGGCUUUUGAAAGCAUCGUUGUUUUACCCUACUUCAUCAACACCAUGAAAAGUGAACUGGAACUUGUGGUCUGCGUGAUUUGUUGAACUAGAAGACCAUGGAAAAAUGGCUUUGCAGAUGCCGAGAGAGGCUGAAGUGACAAGAGGACAUUGCCCAUCAUUAGGUCAGUAAUCUUUAUAAGAAGGAUAAAAUGUCCUUUUUACCUUUUGUGGAUAUAUGUCCUUUUUACCUUGUAUGGAUCUGUAGCACCAGUGCUAACAACGAAAGCGUUAACGUACAGCCCUGCCACCCAUUAAAAAAUUAGGUAUAAUUCAUCUGAUAAUGGCAUGGUAAAUCUGCGGCUGUUAUUGAAUCAUUACGUAGCAAGCAAAGCCCCAUUUCAGGCAGGGAGCUACAGUGAUAUUCCAGGGACUUUGUCCUUAACAGGAUGUGCUAUUGACAGUCACAGUGGGGAGGGGAACUCACAGGUUUGCUAACACCUACCUCAUUAAUAUUAUAAAUGUUACGCUGAAGUUCUAAUUGUUAGUAGUGAAACCACCUAACAUUUUUCAAUAUUUCCAUCACCAUGUGUAGCUAACACCCAUGGUUAUGAUAUUCAGAGCUCACAUCAGACUUAAUUGGGUGAUGAUUUCAUCAAGACAUUGAGUAAACACCACAUGUACAGCAGAUACCUCACCGGGUUGAUGGAUGGUUAUUGGAGUGAUGUAGUGGUGGUUGGCAUGAAGAUUAGGCUGCUGGGGGCUCCCUGAAGCUGGAACGGACAGGCCAAGUACAUCUUCCUUGCCUCUCUGUUUUGAACCUUGCUCCCAAGGUGCCAAUCGUCCGUUCUCUUUUCCUUCCUUGGUGCCUUAUUUGAUUUUGCUUCUAAUGUAUGUGCUGAAAAUUUCUUUUUUAGGUCAUAGCAUGAAAGAAGUGUGUUGUCAUUGCCAUUUCCUGUUACAGCAUGCUGGCAUUACUCUAAGUCAAUUGCUGUUGACCCUCUUAACACUGUAUCCUGCAAUAUGAUAUAAUACAGUAGUAUCUGUUUUUGUUAAGUCAGGUGUUGCUGUAGUGUUUAUCAGCUCCUCUCCUCCUCCCUCAGACCAAGAUUGCAGAUGGUCUCCUUGAUAUCCAGGAAGUCCAGGAGGUAGCUUCCGGUUUUGACCAUCGAGAGGAACUGGACAACUGUGUUAACUCCACUGGCGUUGGGACAGGAUUCCUCUGUCUGAUGCAGCUGAAAGUGUUCUCCAGGCAUUCCUCGUACAAGCUACUGUUGAGAAUGCACUUCUGUACCUGGCUUACUUCCAGGAUUAAUGUUGCAGCAGUCACCACUACGUUUUGAACUGGUAUCCAGCUGCCCUUGUGACCAAUCUUCAGGCCACGAAAAAGAUGGAAGGUGUCCCAAUGCAAGUUUAUGGCUUUCUCUAACUCAUUCUCUUUCAAUCUGCUUAGGGCAAUUACGACAAGGUCGAACCGGUGGUCUACUUCCUCAAGGAACCAUGAUGUUUUCAGGGAGGACUGUGACCGUUUCUCCUCCUCAACCAGGUGUUUCAGGACAGCACUGGUCACUCUACUAAAGACGUGCAUGGCAGGACCAAGGAUGCUGAGGACGAGAAAGGUGUACAGUAGGAUGAACAGCCUUCAGCUUCAACAUCUUCAACACCUCCCCUAACAUUCCUGGCUCCAUCAAACGUGCCGCAUCCUCCUUAGCUUGUCCCUGUUAUAGGUGUGCAGAGUUUAUAGACAGCUACCCAUCCUUUGCACAUUGUGUAUUUUCUGUUGUUCACACACACACUUCAGACAUUAGGAACUGAAAUCUUUUUUGAAAAUAUAAAUGAGUGUCAAACCUCCUUUCUAUGUUGCAGUCCCACCACAUCUCCCUUCUGGUAUUUUUGUUGUUUUUCCCCCUAGUUUUUUUGUUAACACACACUUUUACAUUACAUUACAUUACAUUACAUUUGGCUGA